UAGGGAAUCUUCGGCAAUGGGGGGAACCCUGACCGAGCAACGCCGCGUGAGUGAAGAAGGUUUUCGGAUCGUAAAGCUCUGUUGUUAAGGAAGAACGAGUGUGAGAAUGGAAAGUUCAUACUGUGACGGUACUUAACCAGAAAGGGACGGCUAACUACGUGCCAGCAGCCGCGGUAAUACGUAGGUCCCGAGCGUUGUCCGGAGUUAGUGGGCGUAAAGCGAGCGCAGGCGGUUAGAUAAGUCUGAAGUUAAAGGCAGUGGCUCAACCAUUGUAGGCUUUGGAAACUGUUUAACUUGAGUGCAGGAGGGGAGAGUGGAAUUCCAUGUGUAGCGGUGAAAUGCGUAGAUAUAUGGGGGAACACCGGUGGCGGAAGCGGCUCUCUGGUCUGUAACUGGCGCUGGGGCUCGAAAGCGUGGGGAGCGAACAGG
rnacentral:rRNA from 1 species